UUUUAACGGUGGAUCUCUUGGCUCGGGCAUCGAUGAAAAACGCAGCCGGGUGCGAUAAGUAGGGUGAAUUGCAAAAUUCAGUGAAUCAUCGAAUCUUUGAACGCAAAUGGCGCUCUUGGGUUCUCCCAGGAGCAUGUCUGUCUGAGUGUCGGU
rnacentral:rRNA from 1 species